GGUUUGUUUUUAUUAUUAUUUCUUUAUAACGGAGAAAGAAGUUCACGGUCGGGGCUGCCUUGGAUUUAAUGAUGCCGUGUUGUCUUAGAUUUGGAAUAACAUUGCUGUUAGCAGUGUUAGUCACUGAAGUUUGGACGCAGAACCCCCCUCUAGGCUCGGUGAGGACAGAAUGUCAAGGGAGUGUUAUGAUGAUGAUGUUGGAUAAGUCUUUUGUUGGAAAGUAUUUUCGCAUCAAUG